UACGGAGGGGGCUAGCGUUGUUCGGAAUUACUGGGCGUAAAGCGCACGUAGGCGGCUUUGUAAGUUAGAGGUGAAAGCCCGGGGCUCAACUCCGGAAUUGCCUUUAAGACUGCAUCGCUCGAAUUGUGGAGAGGUAAGUGGAAUUCCGAGUGUAGAGGUGAAAUUCGUAGAUAUUCGGAAGAACACCAGUAGCGAAGGCGACACACUGGGCCAUUACUGACGCUGAGGCGCGAAAGCGUGGGGAGCAAACAGG
rnacentral:rRNA from 1 species